CCUGACUUCACUUUACUGACAUUUCCCCUUGCGUACAAUGGUCAAUGGUUCUGUCAGCAGCAGACUACUCACAUAGUUGUCCCAGUGAUGGGAUAUACUGUUGGCUUCACAUAAUAUCACAGCAGAGCAGCAAAGGCCAGAUGCCCCUCAUAGUUGUUAACCACAGGCACUGAGAGUGGGACUGUCAGAUCCCAUCAUAUUUGGGCUACCUUUUGGAAGCCCUAGGUGGGGAGAUCACUGACCAACAGCGUUUUGGUCACCUAGCUCUUUGUGGCUACCCAGAAGACCGAGGAGUUAGAUAUCUCUUGACAUACUUAUGACCCUUGUGUGUACAUGGGCAUGUUCUGGUCACCCAUAAUCCCAGAUAAAGCUGAAGUCUACAUUUUUGAGACUCCCAGCUUGAAUUCCAAUUGUGGCCUAGCUUUCUUCAUGCAGAUGGGCCCACCUGAAAUUAAGAGGUUAAAUGAGAUGGAAAUCAUGCUUUUGUUGGUUCUGCCAGCAAACUGCCAUGGAACAUUUUAUUUGUCUGGAGUAUCAAAAGCAAAAGUUCCAGGGUGAGGUAUGGCAGUAUGUAGGAUGUCCAUUUUGCUGGUGGGGAUUGUGGCUAAGGUAAUGUGGCUCUGGAACCAGAGAUGGGGC
rnacentral:lncRNA from 1 species